UCUAUCCUCGGCUGAUCUCAAAGUGGCCAGCCCUCAGCAUCUGUCUUCCACGUGGUACCAUUACCUGCAGGUACCACCACACCCGGCCCUGUACCUAUUUUUUCCCUACAAUUCUGAGUAUGUGCGUAUAUUUUAUCAUACUUACCUGAAAGCCCUCUCCCUCUUCAGUUUCAGGCAUCACUUCCAUUCCAAGAAGCCUGUCAGAUAAGAGCCCCCCUCAGCCCCAGCUCCUCUUACUAUCUGACCUGUUGUUCACUGUGGGCUUCCCUUUACCUGAUUCCCAGGUAGAAGCUGCAGCAGGCUCCUGGCCUUACUCUUUGCUUGAUAAACAUUUGAUUGGCCUUGCUAUUGCCAGUGCUCUGAUAGACACCUCACAGCAGAAGCCUUCUGAUAAUAAAGACAAGACUUCCGGAGUCCGCAACCGGAAACACCUCUCCACACGUCAAGGAACUUGUGUCUGAAUGGAAAUCACUUCCGUGCUAUGUGCUGGUUUACUUCACAAAUGGCUUCCGUUAAAGCUGUUCUGCGGCCUUGGGUUUUACAGAGGUUAAUGUCCUAUGAUCCCAGCCCCGAGCACAGUUCCCUGUAAGUGGGCAAUGUCCCAAGUGGCCAAAGAAUGCCAAUGAGUUUUUUAAAGUAGCAGUAUUGAUGAUCACAAGUGAUAAAGUCAGUUUUUAUGGCUCCCUUAGGCUUAGAGCUAACAUAACUUACUAUGGAAAAAGAUGUAUAUUGUUUCUUAAUGCAGAUGGAAAUAUGUAAUUCAUAUAAACCAACUGUUUAUAUCCCAAGACUUUAAAGAAAGACGUUUUAUACUGCUUGAAUGGUGAGAAAUGUACAGUUUUUGCCUCUUAGCAAACUUAGAUUAUUUGAGUAUAAAUAGGAAAUGAACAAAUCAUGGCAGCUGUAAUUGCUGUUUUGUCUCAUUAUAAAUAUGAAAGAAAGGCUUUUAUUUAAUAAGCUGUAGGUCACUGUGUUUAAAUACUCCAUGUGACCACAUAGUAUCCAGAGUCAAUUUGAGAAUGUAACAAUUUCCAACUAAUGGCAACCCGGACCAGAGAGUUGGUCUGGAUGUGGCAAUAUCUUUGUUAGAGUUCGGAGCGUGGGGACAUUCCUGAAACAGAGAAUGGAAAAGACUGACUGGCAAUCAGUGUCGCUUCCUCCCACAAGCAGCCUCCAGUUCAACAACCAGAAGACAGCCAGUGCGGUCAUUGGAUAGCAGAGUCUCUGGUCCUGAUGGUGGUGCUUUGGUUGCCUGGGAAUCUCGGUGGGGGUACCAGGCCAAGGUGUUCCUCUGGUCUCCACUAGAAGGUGUCAUUUUCUUCCAGUCUUAUUCUAUUCUCUGGAUUUUAUUUACCUCUUAACAAGCAUUACAAAAUGGAUCUUAAAAGUAAGACUUUCCAAGUCCCCUGCUACCAACUUCUUCCUGUAGAAUGCAAGCAGACAAGAGCGGGUCCGGUGAGCAUCAGCAAAUUCUCCAUCCCCAGUGCAACCACACCACAGUCGCCGUGCGGUGAGAUGUCCACAGUCCAAAAACAAAUUCAUUGCUGGCCACAUCCAAAACAUCCCUCAUGACAAAAAGUCCUGAAAAACAGCAGAAAGGAAAAACAAAAGGGCAGCUCCCACAUGGAAUUGUCAUUUGUGUGCUAAUAUCGACUGUAGUUCACUGAAGUUCAGUCUGGAGUGGCCGUGGUUGACUUCAGGGUGAGCACAGGAGAGAAGAGAACAAUGAACAAGAUACCCAAAGCUGCUGUGCACUCUGUAGUCUUAUUUAAUGUUAGAGUCAUUACAUCUAAUCAAUGUUAAGUACUGCAUACACACUUUUCAUGUUCUCUGGAGUUCUGGAAGGGGAUGACACUUUACAAUUAAUGCCUCCUUACUUGCAUGCCACGGUUGUACAGUAGCAGAAUAUGACCCUAUUCCAAUAUCAAAUAUUUAUUUCAAAUUCCAUGUAUACAUAGCUUAAUUUGAUGAGGAUCGAGUGUAAUAUGUAACAGAAAUGACCACAGAAUAUGUACUGCAUCUUAUAAAAACAUAGGUCGCAUCUAACCAUGAUCGUCUUAUUUUGAUAACUAGCCUUUUGAAUAUAGUAUAUAUUCUUUAUGUUGGCAUGAUAACUUCACUAUAUUUUCCAUGCACUCAAAAUCAGAUGAACUUGUAGAAUAGUUUUAGUAAUUUUCUCUACAGCCUGUGGGGUUUGGCUGGGAGAUGAAGGGCUGGUUGCUGGUACUUCCCAGGAGAUUUUCUCUCAGAGUAUUACUUGAGCUGAAUUUGUAAUUGUCUCCUAAAAACAAUCAAGGAAUUCGAUCAACUUCUUUUGGAUACUUUACAUGUGGAUUUUUUCCCAUGAAAUAAUAAAUUGGCAAGACCGGUCAUUACAAACAUCUAAUCAUUUGAAAAUAAAGCAGUUGCUCAUUUUGUUUAAUCCCUAACAUCUGUCACUAGAGAAAGCUCAUGCAGCAGAAAGAGAAGUCACCAGACCUGUGUGAGUCAUCACAGCUUCCAGCCGUCAACACCAGUCUGGAGGAGCUGUCCAGUCUCACCCACCAUGAAUCCCACAGGGUUCUUAAAACUUGAAAAUUUGAAUUUUAGAUAAUUAUGGAAUUUAAUGCAAUGUCACACUCUACCAUUAACUCUGUGGCCAAUUAUGCAAUAUAUUCUCGGCAUAUAAAGCUUUUUACUGGAAAUAAAAUUCUUCACCCCCAGGUGAGGUGAGCCAAAGGCA